rnacentral:RNase_P_RNA from 1 species
CCAGUCGGCCGGGCAGUCGCGUCCCCGAGGAAUCGGGGUCGAGGAAAGUCCGGGCUCCAUCCGGCACGGUGGUGGGUAACGCCCACCCGGAGCGAUCCGCGGGACAGUGCCACAGAAAGUAGACCGCCGCGGCCGCCUAUGUGGCAGCGGUAAGGGUGAAAGGGUGGUGUAAGAGACCACCGCGGCUCCGGUGACGGAGCCGGCACGGUAAACCCCACCGGGAGCAAGGUCAGACAGGGGACGUGUGAGGGCGCCGGCCCGAGUCCCCGGGUGGACCGCUGGAGGUCGUCGGCAACGGCGAUCCGAGAUGGAUGACUGCCGAUCACAGAACCCGGCUUACAGGCCGACUGGUCCC